rnacentral:rRNA from 1 species
AUUGAACGCUGGCGGCAGGCCUAACACAUGCAAGUCGAGCGAGCGGCGGACGGGUGCGAAAUGUCUGGGAAUUGCCCUGUCGAGGGGUAUAACAGUUGGAAACGACUGCUAAUACCGCAUCCGAUUGUAUUGCCCAGGUGGGAUUAGCUAGUUGGUGAGGUAAUGGCUCACCAAGGCGACGAUCCCUAGCUGGUCUGAGAGGAUGAUCAGCCACACUGGAACUGAGACACGGUCCAGACUCCUACGGGAGGCAGCAGUGGGGAAUAUUGCACAAUGGGGGAAACCCCGAUGCAGCCAUGCCGCGUGUGUGAAGAAGGCCUUCGGGUUGUAAAGCACUUUCAGCGAGGAGGCGUUACUCGCAGAAGAAGCACCGGCUAACUCCGUGCCAGCAGCCGCGGUAAUAC